rnacentral:rRNA from 2 species
GCGGUGGAGCAUGUGGUUUAAUUCGAAGCAACGCGAAGAACCUUACCAGGUCUUGACAUCCUCUGGCUUCCCGUGAAAGCGGGAAUUCUGGCCGAAAGGCCAGACAGGGAGACAGGUGGUGCAUGGUUGUCGUCAGCUCGUGUCGUGAGAUGUUGGGUUAAGUCCCGCAACGAGCGCAACCCUUACCUCUAGUUGCCAGCAUUAAGUUGGGCACUCUAGAGGGACUGCCGGUGACAAACCGGAGGAAGGUGGGGAUGACGUCAAAUCAUCAUGCCCCUUAUGUCCGGGGCUACACACGUGCUACAAUGGCCGGUACAGACGGACGCAAAGCCGCGAGGUGGAGCAAAUCCUAAAAAGCCGGUCUCAGUUCGGAUUGCAGGCUGCAAUUCGCCUGCAUGAAGUCGGAAUCGCUAGUAAUCGCAGGUCAGCAUACUGCGGUGAAUACGUUCCCGGGCCUU